UUUUAGCCCCGAUAGAAGUGAAAAUCCUUUUGUGCCGGUCCCGAGGCUUCGGGAGGCACAAAAGAUUGUAACGUAUAGCGGGAAAUAGC
rnacentral:sRNA from 1 species